rnacentral:tRNA from 1 species
GGCCCAUUCGACUAGGGGUCUAGGUCACCUGCCUCUCACGCAGGCAACAGCGGUUCGAAUCCGCUAUGGGCUA